rnacentral:rRNA from 1 species
CCCUACGGGGCGCAGCAGUGGGGAAUAUCGCACAAUGGGGGAAACCCUGAUGCAGCAACGCCGCGUGAGUGAAGAAGGUUUUCUGAUUGUAAAGCUCUGUUAGCAGGGAAGAGGAAGGACGGUACCUGCAGAGGAAGCCACGGCUAACUACGUGCCAGCAGCCGCGGUAAUACGUAGGUGGCGAGCGUUAUCCGGAAUGAUUGGGCGUAAAGGGUGCGUAGGCGGCCUGCUAAGUCUGGAGUGAAAGGUACCGGCUCAACCGGUACAGGCUCUGGAAACUGGCGGGCCAGAGAGCAGGAGAGGGG